GCUGGGCAUGGUGGCACAUGCCUGUAAUCACAGUGGCUCAGGAGGCUGAGGCAGGAGGAUAGCAACUUCAAAGGCAGCCUCAGCAAAAGUGAGGCACUAAGCAACUCAGUGAGACCCUGUCUCUAAAUAAAAUACAAUAUAGGGCUGGGGAUGUGGCUCAGUGGCUGAGUGCCUCUGAAUUCAAUCUCCAGUAUCCC
rnacentral:sRNA from 1 species